GGCAGCGUGGUGUAAUGGCUAACACAACAGUCCGGUCUACUGAAGAUGCUGGUUCGCUCCCAGCCGCCA